rnacentral:rRNA from 1 species
UACGGAGGGUGCGAGCGUUGUCCGGAAUCACUGGGCGUAAAGGGCGCGUAGGCGGCCUGAUAAGUAGGGGGUGAAAUCCUGCGGCUUAACCGCAGGGCUGCCUUCUAAACUGUCAGGCUCGAGCACAGUAGAGGCAGGUGGAAUUCCCGGUGUAGCGGUGGAAUGCGUAGAGAUCGGGAAGAACAUCAGUGGCGAAGGCGGCCUGCCGGGCUGUUGCUGACGCUGAGGCGCGACAGCGUGGGGAGCAAACAGG